AGAGUUUGAUCCUGGCUCAGAACGAACGCUGGCGGCAUGCCUAACACAUGCAAGUCGAACGAAGCCUUCGGGCUUAGUGGCGCACGGGUGCGUAACGCGUGGGAAUCUGCCCCUGGGUUCGGAAUAACAGUUAGAAAUGACUGCUAAUACCGGAUAAUGACGUAAGUCCAAAGAUUUAUCGCCCAGGGAUGAGCCCGCGUAGGAUUAGCUAGUUGGUGGGGUAAAGGCUCACCAAGGCGACGAUCCUUAGCUGGUCUGAGAGGAUGAUCAGCCACACUGGGACUGAGACACGGCCCAGAUUCCUACGGGAGGCAGCAGUGGGGAAUAUUGGACAAUGGGCGAAAGCCUGAUCCAGCAAUGCCGCGUGAGUGAAGAAGGCCUUCGGGUUGUAAAGCUCUUUUACCCGGGAAGAUAAUGACUGUACCGGGAGAAUAAGCCCCGGCUAACUCCGUGCCAGCCGCCGCGGUAAUUC
rnacentral:rRNA from 1 species